rnacentral:rRNA from 1 species
AUUGAACGCUGGCGGCAGGCCUAACACAUGCAAGUCGAACGAGUGGCGGACGGGUGAGAAAUGUCUGGGAAACUGCCUGAUGGAGGGGGAUAACUACUGGAAACGGUAGCUAAUACCGCAUACCAUCAGAUGUGCCCAGAGGGGAUUAGGUUGUUGGUGGGGUCACGGCUCACCAGGGCGACGAUCCCCAGCUGGUCUGAGAGGAUGACCAGCCACACUGGAACUGAGCCACGGUCCGAGCUCCUACGGGAGGAAGCUGGUGGGAUUAUUGCAGAAUUGGCGCAAGCCUGAUGCAGCCAUCCCGCGUGUAUGAAGAAGGCCUUCGAGUUUUAAAGUACUUUCAGCGGGGAGACGUUACCCGCAGAGGAAGCACCGGCUAACUCCGUGCCAGCAGCCGCGGUAAUUG